GAUGAACGCUGGCGGCGUGCCUAAUACAUGCAAGUCGAGCGAACAGACGAGGAGCUUGCUCCUCUGACGUUAGCGGCGGACGGGUGAGUAACACGUGGAUAACCUACCUAUAAGACUGGGAUAACUUCGGGAAACCGGAGCUAAUACCGGAUAAUAUAUUGAACCGCAUGGUUCAAUAGUGAAAGACGGCUUUGCUGUCACUUAUAGAUGGAUCCGCGCCGCAUUAGCUAGUCGGUAAGGUAACGGCUUACCAAGGCAACGAUGCGUAGCCGACCUGAGAGGGUGAUCGGCCACACUGGAACUGAGACACGGUCCAGACUCCUACGGGAGGCAGCAGUAGGGAAUCUUCCGCAAUGGGCGAAAGCCUGACGGAGCAACGCCGCGUGAGUGAUGAAGAUCUUCGGAUCGUAAAACUCUGUUAUUAGGGAAGAACAAAUGUGUAAGUAACUAUGCACGUCUUGACGGUACCUAAUCAGAAAGCCACGGCUAACUACGUG
rnacentral:rRNA from 1 species